UUACCCUCGCGCGCACAACUCGCUAUAUAGCUCGCUCGCUCGUUUGUACGCACGCACGCGCACGCGCGCUGACGGACGGACAGCCCGCCGCCCGCCCGCGACUGCAACUACCGCCCGAGUGUAGGCACAUUAACGGAACGAUUUCAUACAUAUAAUAUUAUAUACGUGUGCGUGUUACGAGAGAGAGGAGGUCGAACCAACCAUCAUCAUCGCAUCAUCGUCAUCAUCAUCACCGCAUAUUGCACACGUACCUAUAAUGUUAUUUUAUGUCCCACGAAGGUUUUCUAAACGAAACGCGCAUUGCAGUUAAGUUGGUCGUCUUCAAUUUGUCACCCCUCCCCUUAAUCCACAGUUUUCCGUUAUACUGGUCGUAGUAUAUACGUCGGUCGUAAAAUCUCAGAAAAUUCCAUUCCACCGAUUCCAAGAUACAAUGCCAGCAGUAAUAUAUUUAUAAUAUAGUGUUUACACGUCAUAAACAAGUCACAACGGACGAUAUGCGCAUAUCACGCAAUCAUCAAGGAAAAUACAUUUUUGCUGAAACCCAAGAAUAUGUGGUACUAUAGUAGUACCUACUACUUCUAUAACACAC